GAAAUCCAUGUCCUACCGAGACAAGACUUAGAACUUGAUAUCCUCUUGCCUAAUAGGCAAAAAUUGACCUCUUUAGAAAGACUGAUUCAUUCAGAUCGAUAUGACGUCCCAACUCCGUUGCAUUGCCAGAAUUCAUGUUCCAUAUUUGAAGCGGGUUCACCUAUGUGCUUCUCUCAUGGUAUAAACCUCUUCCUGUUGAGCCCUCUUUCUCUUCGGUCCAUAGAGAGAAAAAAUGUAGGACUGGUGUUGGCAGUUCAUCACAGAAGAAAGAACUCACAAAGCCGGGAUCGGUAA
rnacentral:rRNA from 1 species